UACAGAGGUGUCAAACGUUGUCCGGAAUUACUGGGCGUAAAGCGUGCGUAGACGGUUAUUUAAGUCGGGUGUGAAAGCCCCGGGCUCAACCUGGGAAUUGCAUUCGAGACUGGAUAGCUAGGGUACGGUAGAGGGAAGCGGAAUUUCCGGUGUAGCGGUGAAAUGCGUAGAUAUCGGAAGGAACAUCAGUGGCGAAAGCGGCUUCCUGGACCAGUACCGACGUUCAGGCACGAAAGCGUGGGGAGCAAACAGG
rnacentral:rRNA from 1 species